CUUUUGUAGACUAGCAUCUACACCAGCAUCAGACAGUACACAUAUGGAAAAAGUGGCAUCUUUUGAUCCAUUCUAUGCGAACAUUACAAUAACAGCUAGUCAUCCUGGUAAGACGGUGAUGUUUGAGUUCUCCACUAUUGCUAAAGGUCUUGGGAAAGCUGAUGUGAAUGGCAUGAUGAAACCUGUUCCAGAUAUGUUUCACAAAUUAUGGUUGAAGGCCACAAGGAUGGAGUCAGAGGGGCAUGAAGAGUCCAUGAGCCCUCCAAAGCCCUAAGAAAUUCUUUCUUAACCCUACUUAUGCAGAACCAAUGGAGAUAUAUCAUGAACCAAAUGGAGUUUGCUGCUUUUUACCAAAAUAAACAAUUUCACUACAACUUUGUUAUACUAAAUAUAUUUAUAAUUGAUAAGACAGGGAGCUGUGUACUUUGUGUGUGAACUAUGUUUCUUUAGAGUUGUAUACCCAGGUAAAU